GUUUUUCUAUUUUUUCCCUUUAUGGGGUCAAAACAAUGGCUGAGGAUGCUGGAGAAAUAGGCCAAAAACAGCGGCUCUGAAUUCAGAAAUAAAGAAUAAAGUCUCCAGACCUGACACAUUCUUUGCGGAUCUCAAAACUCAAAAAGAUAAGCAGAUGGCGAGCACACAUAUGCAUGAGCCAGCGACAGGCAUUUUUGUGCCCGUUUAAUGUGGCGCCAAAUGGAGGAGUCGUGCUUGCGCACAAGCAACUGUCCCAUGAGCUGUUCGUUACUGCCAUCCAACCACAUCUUUCAAUUUUUUUUUCUCUUUCUCAGUCUUCUCUUUCCUUUUCAAUUCAUCUGUGGAAUUUUUCCCCCUUCUUAUAUAAGAAGCAAAUAAGUUACCAGACUCGUACCAAAUCCCCCCUUAAAACUUUCCAGUUGUAAUUACGACCCUUGUGUUUCAUUUAUUGUUUUAGUGAAUUUUUGUUGUACUAAGCUAGCACAUCAUUAUUCACUGACAUGUCUACUAGAAGAUUAAGACAACCUAAGCCACCUAGUCUAAAGUCAAGGUUGUGAGAGUUGUGAUCUAUCCAAACCCAAUAAUUACAGUGUAAAAAUGGGGUAUGCAAAUAAAUAUUUCAGUCAAUACAACAAUAAUAUAUAUAAAAAGAAAGCUAUAAUUACAGAAUAAAGUAGUGAAAAUAUCAUAUGGAAGUUUCGCUUUCUGGUCAUUUAUUCCAGGCAAUGGCAAUUGCCUUCUCCCUGUAUCAUCAUCGUUAUUCUUCUUAAUUCUUAAUUAUUAUCUUCUUUUGGUCUCCUGUUUCAUUACACAAUUUUCAUCUUUGAAAUUUUCACUUUUCUUCUUCUCCUUUCAGACUCUCGCUCCUGUUUCUGUUCAUUAACCAAGAUCCUCUGCCUCUCCGCUUACCACUUCGUUUCUUGGUAAUUCUGUGUCCAAGAAACAGGUUUUUACUUGGUGUUUCAACACUUUCUUCUUGAGAUGCAUUUGGGUUGUUGCCAUUUCUCUCAAAGGUUGUAAAAGUGCGUGGUCUUGAUAUUAAUUGGAUUAAAUCAUUUUGGUUUUGGCUUUAAUGGGGUGAAGCAGAUGCAUUGCUGAGGAAAUGACAGGUUUUUGGUAGACCAUUUUACCUUGCAUGGGAGGAUUUUUUCAUUUUUUUGACUUCAAUCAGGGCAGCAUGGCUAGGAAAAUUCUUGCACGUAAGCGACAUGUUGAUGGAUUAGAAGCUCCUCCAAAUAGCUUGGAGCUGCAGGUGGAAACUUCUGAGAGCUGUUGUGUAGCAGGGGAUAUACUGGUAAUUAUUCUGAAUCACAUACCUUAGAUCUCAUUUUCUUUUUCUAAUGCAUUCAUAUAAAUUUGGCUACAAGUUUUGUGUCACCCUCAUCAGGUUGAAGAAGACUGGUCCGAAAAGAACUGCUAUCCAAUUGAAGCAUCAAUGAAGAGGUUGAUUAAAGAGGAAAUUUCCAAGCAACCUAACAACAGGAAAAAUGUGCCAAGCAUUGUGGCCCGGCUGAUGGGUGUAGACAUGUUACCAUUGGAUACUACAUAUGUUGUUCAGCCAGUUGAUAAAAAGAGUACAGGCAUGGUAACCAAGCACUUGAAAAGGGAGAAAAAUGAAAGGAGCUCAGUCAAUAGUUGCCCUUCUGAUUCAAAGUCUUCCAGGCAUAUGGAAAUUGAUUCACUUUGCCAUGGUAAAGAAAGGGAUGUUGACAGAUGGAGGAAUGGCCAGAAGUUAGGAAAACCAAGGCCUCGAGAACAUCCUCAAGAGGAGGAACUACAGAAGUUCAAAAAAGAAUUUGAAGCAUGGCAAGCUGCCAGGUUUAAGGAAUGUUCUAAGGUUGUUGAAAUUGGCAGCAAUCCUGAUCAGUUGCUUGUGCAAGAGAACAUCAACAAGCAGAAAAUGGUACUCGAUGCAAAUUCUGUAAUGUCAAAAAGUGAAAAGCCUAUAGAAUACAAGGGUCCUGUGUUAAAAGCAAUGUCGAGGGAAAAGGCUAACUUGCAUCAUAGACAUAAUCUGGAACUCUUCCCAGCAGAACAGAAGGAAUCGUUUUCUUCAAGAAACAGAAGUAUAAAUAGAAACUAUGAGCACUCCUCAAUAAAUUAUGAUCAGAAAAUGGAUACGUAUUCUGCUCCCACAAGGAUAGUAAUCCUGAAGCCUGGUCCUGAUAGAAUUUGUGACCUUGAAGAGUCUUGGACUAGUUCCUCCAGUACUUUAGAGGACAGAGGUAGUAUAGAAGAUUUCCUUGAGGAGGUGAAGGAAAGGCUGAAACGUGGACUGCAAGGAAAAACACUUAAAAGAGGUUUUGCAGUCAGAGGAAGUGGAAUUGAGACUCCUUUUAGUGAAAAGCCAUCAGAUCCAAAACAAAUUGCUCAGCAUAUAGCAAAACAUGUCAGAGAAAGUGUUACACAGGACCUUGGAAUGAGUCUGGUCCGAUCAGAAUCUACACGGUCAUAUAGAAGUGAGAUUCAGUUCAAUGGACUAGGUUCUCCUGAGUUCAUCAACAGGGAUGCUAGGAGAUUCUUAUCAGAGAGACUGAGGAAUGUGCUCAAGAGAGAAACACAUUCUCUGGAUCUUCCUUUAGUUUUUAGUGGCAGGUCUGGAUCAUCUCUCUUAGAUAAUGAGAAAAUCAGACUAGAAGUGGGAGAUACCUCACAAGCUAGAAUUUUGCCUAGCUACUGGGAAAUUGUGAAAGAUGAUCAAGAAAUGCGAAUUAAAUCUUUCAGGCAUGGAGAUGAUGAUGGAUUGCUUCAUAGAGAAUUGUCUCCUAGGAACCUAAUUAGGUCUUUAUCAGCUCCUGUAUCAGGAACAUCAUUUGGUAAGCUUCUUCUUGAGGACCGCCACAUUUUAACUGGUGCUCAUAUCAGGAGGAAGCAUGAAUCCCUCGAAAAUGUGACAAUGGGGUUGAAAAAAAGGAAGAAAGAAAGAUUUAAUAUCAAAGAAAAAGUUUCCAAUUUCAGAUACAGUUUCACUCUUAGGGGAAGGCUAUUUGGCAAAAAGCUUCAAUCAAUGGUAGAAUCACAUGAUUCUGAACAGGAUUUUGUAAAGGAUAUCAUGAGUGGACCAACAGUUGUUAGGAACUUUGGCAAAAGACACAUAAUGGAGAACUCAACUGAGGUGCCUCCUAGCCCUGCAUCUGUCUGCAGCAGUGCUCAAGAAGAGUCCUGGAGGCCAGUGGAUUAUCUCAGCCCACUAUCAACAUCUGAUGUCACUCCGGCGGACGAUAGUAAUAUGCCACAGGUUUUUAAAGAGAUUAGCUCUAAUCUGAAUGGUAUGGAAACAAUUGAUAUCUUCCUUCAAUUCAUGGUGUAUGCAUGAAUUUAUUUAAAUCUUGAGUUUUCUGUGAUGAUUUUGUCAAAAAAUUGUAGAUUGUUAGAUGAACUUUCCAUUUUGCACAAAAUUUGCGGUGGAUUCACUUGAAUUUCUUGUAAUUUAUACUGAGACAUCGAGUAUCAAUUGAUAUAUAUUUUGAAAAUCAGGACAUUUGAUACACAACUCAGUAAGAUUGCGAAUCUGAAAUGUACCUUAUUGUUACUGACAGCUUUUCCUAUUUGUUGAUCAUGCAGAGCUGCAGAGGCAACUAAAUCAACUCAAAUCUAAUGAGCCAGAAGACUCAACAAUUGAACAGGGGCCUAGUGAGUGCAUAAUGGUUAAUUUGGAGGAUGAGGUAGAAGCUUACUUAAGGGAUUUGCUUGUUGCUUCUGGUUUGUAUGAUGGAUCAUGCGAUAAAUGCUUUUCAAGAUGGGAUCCACUUGCAAAGCCUAUCAGCAACUCAGCGUUUGAAAAAGUUGAAGAAUCUUGUAAAAAAUUGGCCAAGGAUAAUCGAAAUAGCAAUAGAGAUGACAAGGACAAGAAGGUAGAUCACAAAAUUUUAUAUGAUUUAAUGAACGAAGCACUUUCAACUUUACUCGGACCGCCAGCGGCCAUGUCUAUGUUCAGAAGAAGGAUCAUAAGUUCCUUCAUGUUGCCACCUCUACGUGGAAGGAAAUUAUUGGAUUGUGUAUGGGAGAUGAUCCGCGGGUAUUUAUAUCACCCAGAUGACAAACCUUACUAUUCACUGGAUAGUUUGGUGACCAGGAAUCUGGGAUGCACUCCAUGGUCCAGCUUGAUCAACGACGAGGUAAAUGCUUUGGGAAAAGAGAUGGAAUGUCUGAUUGUGGGAGAUUUAAUAGAGGAAAUUGUGAAUGAUAUUCAUUUGUAAUUGUGUUUGAUUAGUACAUUUUGCAGAGUGACCUCUCUUAUGAUCAGCAGGUCGCUUGUUAGAUGAUAUAGACAAGAAGUGGUGAGAGUUGUUGGUGAGUGGGAGUACGUAUGAAGACCAGGUUCCGAAUGAUUUACAUGGCUAUAUCCCAACUUGGGGAUGGCUAUGUUUUCCUGCUAUAUAUAGGUGACUGCAUUUUUUUCAUGAUACAUAGGUGACUGCUGGAGUAGGAGAUUUCAUGUUCAUGUAUAUAUAUAUGUGUGUGUGUGUUCUUUUCUUUGUGGGUGUUUGAUACAGAAGUAAUUUCAUAUAUGUAAAUGAGUUAAAAUUGAAUGGUUUUUCUU
rnacentral:misc_RNA from 1 species